rnacentral:rRNA from 1 species
UACAGAGGGUGCAAGCGUUGUUCGGAAUUAUUGGGCGUAAAGGGCGCGUAGGCGGUGCGGUAAGUCCGCAGUGAAAUCUCUGGGCUCAACUCAGAGUCUGCUGUGGAAACUGCCGUGCUAGAGCGUGGGAGAGGUAAGUGGAAUUCCGAGUGUAGAGGUGAAAUUCGUAGAUAUUCGGAAGAACACCAGUGGCGAAGGCGACUUACUGGACACAUAUUGACGCUGAGGUGCGAAAGCGUGGGGAGCAAACAGG